rnacentral:rRNA from 1 species
GACGAACGCUGGCGGCGUGCUUAACACAUGCAAGUCGAGCGGUAAGGCCCUUUCGGGGGUACACGAGCGGCGAACGGGUGAGUAACACGUGGGUGACCUGCCCUCAGCUCUGGGAUAAGCCCGGGAAACUGGGUCUAAUACCGGAUAUGACUCCAUGACGCAUGUUGUGGGGUGGAAAGCCUUGUGCGGCUGAGGAUGGGCCCGCGGCCUAUCAGCUUGUUGGUGGGGUGAUGGCCACCAAGGCGACGACGGGUAGCCGGCCUGAGAGGCGACCGGCCACACUGGGACUGAGACACGGCCCCAGACUCCUACGGGAGGCAGCAGUGGGGAAUCUUGCGCAAU